rnacentral:lncRNA from 1 species
CUCCCCUCACGCCAACCACGCUCCAGAAAACGAAGGAGAAAAUAGAAACGUAUAAGUCAGGGCGAGACAGAGGAUCGCCAGGGCAAAGGACAGCGCGAUCUCAGGAGAUCAAGCGGCCGACAGGCUGGCGGUGGUAGAAGUCAUGCACGCCUGUCGUUGGCUGGGCUUAAAAGGAAGAGAGUAAAAAGAAAAGGCGGGGUUCUGGGGUUGGGUUCAAUUGUAGGACAGAGGGUCGGAGAGAGAUCCAAAAGGAAGUUCGAGCGAGAGCAGCCGAGAGAGCGAGAGGGCUGAAAUUUAGCCCCGGCUGAGCGUCGUCCAGCCGUCCUCGACGCAAACCGGCGCAACGGAGCUCGCGGUUCCCCCUUCUUCCACGUCCUUCAACGUUGGUUUUGGCCAAGAAGGACCAACAAGAGCGUGAGCCCAAAAAACUGAUCUGCUGUCGUCGGUGGUUCGUUAGUCAGCCGCCGUCCGCCGCAGUACCCCCACCAAACCAAACCAGGUAGGUUUUCUCGGGUCAUGUAUGCUCCGUUUUUGUAGGGCGUCUGACCGGAGCUCGUGGACGACCCGUUCGCAUGAGCUUUGGUCCCUCCGACCCCCCGUAGGUCCUUAUCCAAUUCUGUGUGUUUUUGGUCGUUUUCCGAGAAUCCCGAUGCCAUUUCGAGUUCCGGUUGAGUCGGAAAUCUAAACAUUCGGUAAUGCUCGCAGACUGUUUGUAUAAAUGUCUGAGUGAAGCCCGCAUAACUAUUUCUGAAUCUUUGUUUAUCAGAGGCGUCCGUCGUUGUUAGACGUGUUUUGUUGUUGUUCUACACGCUUUUGUUUCGUUUAUUCCAAGUUUACAUUGUCGUGGUUAGGACUUAUGGCCAUAUGUUGUGAUUUGGGCUUACUUUUGUGCAAGUUGUGUCCCGUCUUCCUUCCUGUCUGUUUAGGUGAGAGAGUGGGUGUCGGCUCCGCGGUGGCCCGAGUGCGGGCGGUGUCGAUGCUGGUGACGAAAGAUAGUGAGGCUCGUUUAAAAUGGCGCUGUUUUGAUCGACGAGUUUCGGUGAAAGAGGGUGUAGGAGUGAAAGU